rnacentral:rRNA from 1 species
GACGAACGCUGGCGGCGUGCUUAACACAUGCAAGUCGAACGAAGUGGCGAACGGGUGAGUAACGCGUAAUCAACCUGCCCUUCAAAGGGGGACAACAGUUGGAAACGACUGCUAAUACCGCAUACUGUAGGAGGAGAUUGCGUCGGAUUGGCUAGUUGGAGGGGUAACGGCCCACCAAGGCCAUGAUCAGUAGCCGGUCUGGGAGGGUGAACGGCCAAAUUGGGACUGGGACACGGCCCAGACCCCUACGGGAGGCAGCAGUUGGGAAUCUUCCGCAAUGGACGGAAGUCUGACGGAGCAACGCCGCGGUAGUGAUGACGGCUUUCGGGUUGUAAAGCUCUGUUAAUCGGGACGCGGUACCGGAAUAGAAAGCCACGGCUAACUACGUGCCAGCAGCCGCGGUAAUUC